AUGGACUCAGAACGAACGCUGGCGGCGCGUCUUAAGCAUGCAAGUCGACGGGCAAGGGGAGCUUGCUCCCCCUAGGGUGGCGGACUGGUGAGUAACGCGUGGGUGACCUACCCUUGAGAUGGGGAUAGCCAUUAGAAAUAGUGGAUAAUACCGAAUACGCUCUUUUUUGCUGUGGCGAGAAGAGGAAACAGGCUACGGCCUGGCUCGAGGAUGGGCCCGCGUCCCAUUAGCUAGUUGGUGAGGUAACGGCCCACCAAGGCGACGAUGGGUAUCCGGCCUGAGAGGGUGUACGGACACAUUGGGACUGAGAUACGGCCCAAACUCCUACGGGAGGCAGCAGCUAAGAAUAUUCCGCAAUGGACGAAAGUCUGACGGAGCGACGCCGCGUGGAUGAAGAAAAGGGCCGAAAGGUUGUAAAAUCCUUUUGCUGAUGAAGAAUAAGUGGUGUAGGGAAUGACAUCAUGAUGACAUUAGUCGGUGAAUAAGCCCCGGCUAACUACGUGCCAGCCGCCGC
rnacentral:rRNA from 1 species